GACGAACGCUGGCGGCGUGCCUAAUACAUGCAAGUAGAACGCUGAAGAGAGGAGCUUGCUCUUCUUGGAUGAGUUGCGAACGGGUGAGUAACGCGUAGGUAACCUGCCUGGUAGCGGGGGAUAACUAUUGGAAACGAUAGCUAAUACCGCAUGAAAUUGCUUAUCGCAUGAUAAUUAAUUGAAAGAUGCAAUUGCAUCACUACCAGAUGGACCUGCGUUGUAUUAGCUAGUUGGUGAGGUAACGGCUCACCAAGGCGACGAUACAUAGCCGACCUGAGAGGGUGAUCGGCCACACUGGGACUGAGACACGGCCCAGACUCCUACGGGAGGCAGCAGUAGGGAAUCUUCGGCAAUGGGGGGAACCCUGACCGAGCAACGCCGCGUGAGUGAAGAAGGUUUUCGGAUCGUAAAGCUCUGUUGUAAGAGAAGAACGGGUGUGAGAGUGGAAAGUCACACUGUGACGUAUCUACCAG
rnacentral:rRNA from 1 species